CCAGUCUGAAGCGGAUGGCCUAAUUACGCCGGCUGUCAGCAUGCGUUCAAUUUCCUGUUCGACCAUUUCAUUAUUGUCUCGGUUCAUUCUGCAAGGGUGCUGCUGAACGGGGUCAACUUCAUCUGCAAUGACGUCAUGUCCGGUCUCGGAAUGACCGGGAAUAAACCUUCACACUUGUUAAUUAAACUCUGCAGUUGUUUUCGCUGCCUUGACUGCAAACGUUGAGUCUUUCCAUCGAGAUUUUUCAAAAACAUCAGAGUUUCUGAGUCUCGUUGAAACUACACGGAGCUUCUGGUAUCCCAGUACCAGACACCACAAUCUCCUCCGUUGUCCUAACAUUACUCACAGGUGCAGGGUCGGGGUCAUGAUAACCCCUGAUCUUAUUUACGCGGACGAGCUGGGUAGCCUCCCUCCGUCGGCCAGGAGUUCUAAUAACGCAAUUCAAAGAAUUAUUAGAUGUCAACAAAAUAGAGAGAGCACAGAGGAGAUUUAGUGGAAUGUUAGCUGGGUUUCAGCACCUAAGUUACAGGGAAAGGUUGAACAAGUUCGGUCUUUAUUCUUUGUACAGAUGAGAUUUACUAGAAUGUUACCUGGGUUUCAGCACCUAAGUUACAGGGAUAGGUUGAACAUGUUAGGUCUUUAUUCUUUUGUACAGAGGAGAUUUACUAGAAUGUUACCUGGGUCUCAGCAGCCAAGUUACAGGGAAAGGUUGAACAAGUUAGGUCUUUAUUCUUUUGUACAGAGGAGAUUUACUAGAAUGUUACCUGGGUCUCAGCAGCCAAGUUACAGGGAAAGGUUGAACAAGUUAGGUCUGUAUUCUUUGUACAGAGGAGAUUUACUAGAAUGUUACCUAGGAUUCAGCACCUAAGUUACAGAGAAAGGUUGAACAAGUUAGGUCUUUAUUUAAUCGAAGUAUUGAGUAUAAGAGUUGGAAUGUAAUGCUGAGGUUGUAUAAGGCAUUGGGGAGGCCGAAUUUGGAGUAUUGUGUGCAGUUUUGGUCACCGAAUCACAGGAAGGAUAUUAAUAAGGUUGAAAGAGUGCAGGGAAGGUUUACAAGGAUGUUGCUGGGACUUGAGAAACUGAGUUACAGAGAAAGGUUGAAUAGGUUAGGACUUUAUUCCCUGGAGCGUAGAAGAAUGAGGGGUGAUUUGAUAGAGGUGUAUAAAAUUAUGAUGGGUACAGAUAGAGUGAAUGCAAGCAAGCUUUUUCCACUGAGGCCAGGGGAGAAAAAAAACAGGACAUGGGUUAAGGGUGAAGGAGGAAAGGUUUAAAGGGAACAUUGGGGUGGGGCUUCUUCACACAGAGAGUGGUGGGAGUGUGGAAUGAGCUGCCAGAUGAAGUGGUAAAUGCAGGCUCACUUUUAACAUUUAAGAAAAACUUGGACAGGUACACGGAUGAGAGGUGUAUGGAGGGAUAUGGUCCUGGUGCAGGUCAGUGGGACUAGGCAGAAAAAUGCUUCGGCACAGCCAAGAAGGGCCGAAAGGCCUGUUUCUGUGCUGUGAUGUUCUAUGGUUCUGUGGAAACUGACUGGACUUGCAUGUCCAGUGUCUGCAGCUGAACAUUGGUGUAAUCAGUAAUUGUGGGGUUAAUAAACACUGAACAUUACUGUGGUUAUUGGUGAAAGUGGGAUUAAUAAACCUUGGGAUUAAACCUCAUCUCUCUCUGAUCCACAGUCUACGGUCUCAGUCUCACAGCUGCUGGUGUUGUGGAUCUCGCAUCCGCUCUCAGUACAAACCGUUCACUGACGGAGCUGGAUCUGGUUUAUAAUGAACUGGGAGAUUCGGGAGUGAAACUGGUGUUUGAGGCUCUGAGGAACCCGGAGUGUAAAUUACAGAGAGUGGGACUGAGGGGGAAUCGGUUCAGUUCAGAUGGAGAGAAACAGCUGAAGUCAAUGGAGGGAACCAGACCCGGACUGAGAGUGAUCUUCUGAACAUCCCACUGUGUGUACAUCACCACCCCCUGGGGUCGGAACAUUUCCCUCCCAUUUCCCACCCUCCCCUUUCAACCCGAACAUCCCACCUGGAACCGAGUACGUGUCCCUCCUGUGGUGAUGUUAAAUACCCGGUCGCAGAGUCACCGUCAAUGAGAAUAUAGUUUAAUAUCACUGGCAUAUAUCAUGAAGUUGUUGUUACGCUGCAACUAUACAGUGCAGUACAUAAUUAAAAACUAUAAAUUACAGUUUUAACGUCUAGGCCCGAUUGACGCACGUUCGUCGAGGGGAAACUGGCAUUGACCCCGUCAACAGUGUAAUCGUGUACAAACCCACAACAUGAAAUAUCAGACAGGACACAAUAUGCAAUUAAAUGAUCACACUUUAUAAUUA